AAGGCUUUAAGUUAUGUUAAACUGAUAACCUUCAAAGCUAUUAAUAAAGAAAGUUCUUUAAGCCUUA
rnacentral:tRNA from 1 species